UCCUGGUGGCGAGUGGCGAACGGGUGAGUAAUAUAUCGGAACGUGCCCAGUCGUGGGGGAUAACGUAGAGAAAUUUACGCUAAUACCGCAUACGAUCUAAGGAUGAAAGCGGGGGACCGUAAGGCCUCGCGCGAUUGGAGCGGCUGAUAUCAGAUUAGGUUGUUGGUGAGGUAAAAGCUCACCAAGCCGACGAUCUGUAGCUGGUUUGAGAGAACGACCAGCCACACUGGGACUGAGACACGGCCCAGACUCCUACGGGAGGCAGCAGUGGGGAAUUUUGGACAAUGGGCGAAAGCCUGAUCCAGCAAUGCCGCGUGCAGGAAGAAGGCCUUCGGGUUGUAAACUGCUUUUGUACGGAACGAAAAGGCCUGCCUUAAUACGGCGGGCCCAUGACGGUACCGUAAGAAUAAGCACCGGCUAACUACGUGCCAGCAGCCGCGGUAAUACGUAGGGUGCGAGCGUUAAUCGGAAUUACUGGGCGUAAAGCGUGCGCAGGCGGUGAUGUAAGACAGUUGUGAAAUCCCCGGGCUCAACCUGGGAAUUGCAUCUGUGACUGCAUCGCUAGAGUACGGUAGAGGGGGAUGGAAUUCCGCGUGUAGCAGUGAAAUGCGUAGAUAUGCGGAGGAACACCGAUGGCGAAGGC
rnacentral:rRNA from 1 species